UAAUCUCUCAACACAAGAGACUUUGUUCUUUGUGCUUGGAUAUUGAAGGCUUGCUGGCAGCAACUGUCAGCUCCUUUUAAAUGCAUUAGCAGAGCAAUGUUAGGACUGGCCUCAGUUUGAUAAGAAGUUUUUAUCUGUGCUGUCGCUGGAUUUCCUCUUGUGCUUAGCUUCAAAUUGUCUUCGGACUGCCUCUUGAGGCAAUGUAUUAUUAUU
rnacentral:misc_RNA from 1 species